CAAGUCCUAGGCUCAGUGGUUUAACCCACAGCGCCACCCGCUUCCCAAGAGAGGAAGAUGGAUUUGUGUAAAAAAAAAAUAUUGCUGCUAAAAUCACAAGCACAGAAAACAUCAUGAAUACUGAGAAAAACUCUAUCCGGGUAGUCAGAAGAACAACUGUAGGGGGCACACAUGCCAGUUCUGCCCAUUACACUUCUGAAUUUCAUACUGCUAUUUGCGUAAUUGAAACCAUGGGCACCAGUAGAGUUUUAAAUGGUGGCUUCUUCGUGCCAAUAGUUGACUGGGGAGUGGACUUCAUCAGGACUGCUGCAGAGGUUAAACUUCCCCUCAUACAAUCUGAUGCUGCUCUGACCUCUCCAUAGCUACUUAUUUACAUUGCAAAAAGGGGGUGGGGCAACCACUAGAAUCAUGUGAUUAAAAAGGCAUUGAUUUGACCCUAUUUAUCAGAUGUUUUGAUGAACUUGCAGUGGCUAUCUGCAUCAUUCUCUGUUAGUAGCUCCC